AUUGGUGGCUUUGGCUGCAGGCAAACACCCGUUCCCAUCCCGAACACGGCCGUUAAGACUGCACGCGGUGAUGAUACUGCGCCCAGGAGCGUGGGAAAGUAACGCGCCGCCAAUU
rnacentral:rRNA from 1 species